CUGUGUCGUUGGUUUCAGCUUUGCUGCUGCCUUUAGGAGAGUUAGGCCCCUCGUAGCUCAGCGCUUAGAGAUUUGAAAGAAACUCAUUGAUGCACUCUGGAUCUACAUAUACCCAUGUUGAAAAACAUGCCAGUAUGUCUGUGUUGCAGAAGUACAGCAGUCCACAAAUCUGCAUAGAGUGAUCUACUGGACACUUCUUUUCUAGAAAUUGCCAAAGACAAACCCCCUGCCAGUGAGGAGCGUUUUGGAAUCUCAUAUAAACUCUUAACCUCCCUUUCCUGGACCAUUUUCUUCUGGAAGCUGAACAGAAAAGUAAAAUGAAGAUCUCCGACAGUGCUGUAAUACCCUUGGGCUGACAGUUCCAGACUCAUGAACUGGCAAGGAGAUCGUGACAAUGUAAUAUGCCUUUUUGGGCACUAAUCUACACUUGUGCAACAGGAGUGUCAUCGCUGCAUGCCUUGGAACAUUUUAGGCGUAGGAGUCAAGGACUUGAAAGGAUUAGGCACUGGCAAUAAAUUUUGGCAGUGCCUUGGACUAGGACAUGCUCAUCUGUAUGAUGCAUGCAGAUAGAAUAAACACGAAAGAGAAGUCUUAAAAAG